CCCAAGGCCAGGUUGGAGCACCCUGGGUCAGUGGAAGGUGUCACUGCGGGACUGAUUGGGCUUUAAGGUCCUUUCCAACCCAAAGCAUUCCAUGGUUCCAUGACUCCUGAGGCUGAAAGCAGGGCUUGCAGAGAGCCAGAGCUCAGCCCUGGGGCUGCAGCACUGCCUGCACCUGAUGCUGGAUGCAGGAACUCUCAUUAAAGCCCCUGGUGUCAGGUGAUCCCACCCAGAGCUGUCACCAAACCCUACCCACACACAGAACUCUUGUCCAGCCUGGAGCCCAUCCCCUACAGCCAGAAAUAAACCAUUCCCACAGCUGAUUCAUCCCAUCCCAAAGGAGGUGACAGACUCCUUCCCUGGGACAGAGGGAACCCAGCAUGAUGGGACUGGAGGGGAGCGAGGAUAACAGAGCUCAGCGCUUCUCCUGGAUAACAACAACUGAGUGGGUGUUUCAGUGGGAUUUGUGCUCUUUUGGUACUUCAGGGAGAGGCUGGAGCAGAGCCAAGGGAGAAGGGUAUCCCUGCAAUCUUGGGGACAGCAGCUGGUGGCUGGGCUCAGUGCUGUGGUGCACCAGACUGUGUUAGAAACCACUGGAACCAGAACCUUGGCUGGGAACACGAGCAGCAGGACCACAGAGGUGCUGAGGAGAUGCCUUUAAACCAAGAUUUAAAACACUGACCUCUGGCCAGAGAAAUUCUUUGUGAGCAAGAAAUAAAAGAUGUCUUUGCAGAGGUGUUGAGGCAUGAACUAUGGGAACUUCAACAUAUUUAUGUAUAGAAUGUGUUGGGGAACAACAUAGUUCUGUUUUCAUGGUGAUCAAAGUUUUGCAAGAAGGAGGACUUGAGACAGUGUGCUGAGCUGCUAUGGCAACAUGAAUUUUAAAAAAUAAACUGACUUGCAAGAGCUUAUCUUUUCCUCUUUAGUGUGGUGCAGAACAGAUCUGGGAGCCCUCUGCCUGAAAGGGAUCCUGUGAGGUGCUCACCUCUGCUUCUGGGCCAGGUGUAUUGCAAAAUGCAUAAAACAUAUCCCUCGUGGCAAGGGGAAAAUUAUUCCAUGACUGGCUUUGCACCCCAAAGAGCCAAGUCACGGUGCUUCUGUCACUGUGUGUUUAUCACAGCUCAGAUUCUCAGAUGUUGGGGUGGAUGCAGCACGAAGCACUUGGGCUGUGCUGGCAUCCUAUUCUGGGAGCAGGGUGGGCUGCCAGGCGCUGCUCAGGGGUGAAUUCCACCCACGGCAGGCGUUUCCAAGAGCACCAUGACGUGGGCUCGGCUUACAGCUCGGCUUUCAAGCCACCCGCACAAAAUGUAGAGGCAGCGGUGUCAGGAACCCUCCCUGACAGCUCCUUUCAGGAGGGGAUGCUGUGAGGAGCUGUCACGCUCUGAGUCAGCUGUUCUUCCAGGCCUGGCAUUCCAGGCAGGAAGAGCCUGCUUGAAGAACCAUCCCAACCACGCCGCCUGCCAAAACCACACUGGGAAUCCCAUGGGAACCAGCCCUCUCCCGGGCCAGCUGGUACUUCCUGCUCCCGAGGCCUGAUCCUGCUGGAUGCUGAGCAUUCUUUGUUCCAUUUUUAAAUUAAUGAGGCUCCAGCAAUGCACGGUCCCAGAGCCCGGGGAAGAAACAGCCCCUCGGUGUUUUCAGCACUUUGGCCCAGCUGGAGAGGAGAGGGAAAUGUCAGGCUUGAAGAGAUGCCUGGAGAACAGAUCCAUAACCCGGAGAUUUUAGCCAGGUUCUCCGAGCUGGCCAUGCCCCCACACACAGCUCUCCUCCCCACAGGCUGUGACUCCCAAAGCUGGCAGCCCCAUCUCUGCAGAGAAGGACGAGGAUCACAGCGUGGGACUCGCUCCCAUCCUGUCCCAACAGUGUCCCCUUGAGGCUGGUGCUGAGGCAGCCUGGGAAGAGCUCUCGUGGAGGUGCAGGGGAACCCCAGAAGCUGCUCCAAACAACAAAUCCAUCCCAGCAGUUGCGGAUCAGCCUGAGUGAAGGAUGCUGGAGGAGCCCACCCCACAGCGGGUGUGGGACCUCCACACUUGGGAGAACACUCAGGAAUACCUUGGAUGUCUAAGUUGCUGCAGAGAGCUAAUUCCUCCAGGUGACUCCAGGCAGCGAUAAGUGGGCUCCUGCACAGCGAGGGGUUUGAAGUGCCAGAGCUGAAAGCGCUCCCAGCUCUGGCACGCCAGGCCUCCAGCAGGGGACACAGCCUCAGAUGUCACAGCACGGGGGCAGCAGGGGCCUCUGGAGCUGUCAUUUCCAACCUGCAUUUCCAACUGGAGGGCCAGGCACAGGCUUGAGAUGCCCUGUGCCCCCAGGGAAAAGGUUGAAGGAUAUUGGGGGAAAAGAUAUUUCGAAGAUAUUGGGGAAUAAAAAUCAGUGCCCUGAAGGGAUAAAUGUUGGGAAGUGCCAGUGCUGGCCUCUGGGAUAGGUGUGUACCUGGCUGCACUGGGUGUCCCAGCCCUGGCAGAGCAGCAGAUUUGCAUCUGAGCUCUUUCCUCUGGUGUGGAAGAUGAGCAUGAGGAGUAUUCAAAGGCAAGGAGGUGCCCAAGAGAAUCCCAAAACCAAUGAGAGAAGUAUUUACAGAAGAAUGGCUCUUAUCAUAUGUACAUAAUAUUAAAUAUAAUAUUAUUUUGUCUGACAAA